rnacentral:rRNA from 1 species
CCUACGGGCGGCAGCAGUAGUGAAUCUUCCACAAUGGGCGAAAGCCUGAUGGAGCAACGCCGCGUGGGUGAAGAAGGUCUUCGGAUCGUAAAACCCUGUUGUUAGAGAAGAAAGUGCGUGAGAGUAACUGUUCACGUUUCGACGGUAUCUAACCAGAAAGCCACGGCUAACUACGUGCCAGCAGCCGCGGUAAUACGUAGGUGGCAAGCGUUAUCCGGAUUUAUUGGGCGUAAAGGGAACGCAGGCGGUCUUUUAAGUCUGAUGGGAAAGCCUUCGGCUUAACCGGAGUAGUGCAUUGGAAACUGGGAGACUUGAGUGCAGAAGAGGAGAGUGGAACUCCAGGUGUAGCGGUGAAAUGCGUAGAUAUAUGGAAGAACACCAGUGGCGAAAGCGGCUCUCUGGUCUGUAACUGACGCUGAGGUUCGAAAGCGUGGGUAGCAAACAGGAUUAGAUACCCGAGUAGUC